UACGUAGGCAGCGAGCGUUGUUCGGAAUUAUUGGGCGUAAAGGGCGCGUAGGCGGCGCGGUAAGUCACCUGUGAAAUCUCCUGGCUCAACUGGGAGCUUGCAGGCGAAACUGCCGUGCUGGAGUGUGGGAGAGGUGCGUGGAAUUCCCGGUGUAGCGGUGAAAUUCGUAGAUAUUCGGCGGAACACCAGUGGCGAAGGCGACUCACUGGCCCGAUACUGACGCUGAUGCGCGAAAGCGUGGGGAGCAAACAGG
rnacentral:rRNA from 1 species